GAGCAGGAGAAGAAAAAGGGGAAAACCCCUAAUUAUCACAAAUUCAGCAAAUUAAAGCCCUAGAUGUGAUUCUGAGUCCAUGCAUGUCUCGAUUUUCUGAUCAUCUAUGCAUUCUUGAACACAAGGUGUAGCAAGGCUUGGAAGACAACAUGGAAAACAAGUGGAAAUGGUGACGACUUUCUUACGGGCUAAGGUAUGCUAUGGUAGUCCAUCGUGAAGUUUUGAGGAACUGGAAUGCAAGAUUGUACUCGGAAGGAUAAUCAAAAAGUUACACGGUCUAUCGUCGGUAUGAAGUAUUGGAGGAUUGAAGAUCGAGUCAAGGGCAAGAAUUGUACGGGAAGAGUAGUCACAUAGCUCAAACGCGUAUAUGUAAUUGAUGUGAAAAUUCAUAACGAACGAUGUAAACCCUUUAAUUAACUUUAAAUAUUUCUAGUAA